rnacentral:precursor_RNA from 1 species
UCUGGAACAAAAUAAUUGUAUUAUGUUUUUAAAUCAAUAUUCAUAAUACCUAUACUGUUCCAAACUCUAUU